UAUAGGGACUGGAUCAAGCAGAAUGCAGACUCUUCAACCCCCCCAUUCAUGGUAAUAAACCCACUGCUGCUAAGCAGGUGUGAGCCUGGUCAGUACCUGGAUGGGAGACCUCCUGGGAAAAACUAAGGUUGCUGCUGGAA
rnacentral:rRNA from 1 species